UGCCGCACACCAUUUAGAUAGCAUUGGCUCGCCGCAGAGACGUCGCCGGCUCGCCACCCUGAGCUACAGAGGUGGCGGGAGCAGCGAAGGGGCCGAGCGCUGUCGUAUGUCGUGCGACGGCCACACCGCAGGUAGCCACUCACGGCAACUACGCGCACGCACGCACCGGCCACCGUCGCGCCGCGAGCUUCGCCUGGCUGUGCACUGCCGCAACCACACGUGAGUUCUUCCGACGCGCACCGCCCACAGUCGACCUGCGAGCCACACAUGCACCGCCGCGAAGUGCUGCUUGAUCCCCUCCAUGGACUCGUGCUCGCCAUUGCAGUCCGUCGCCCUGGCCACGAAGAGGGCCAAGAUCCAUGGAGCUGCUCGUGGGGUGAGCAUAUCGUCCUCGUGCUCCUCAAUUCUGCUGGGGUAUCCUUUGGGCUGGGUGGCAGAGAUGGCGAAUUCCUCCUCGCGUGUCUCAGGGUGGUACACCUCCUAUAUUUUGAGAAAUAAAACUUAUGGUUAUAUGAUAUCAUCUAAGGUGAAACGUUGAAAGGGCUCUUGGAUUGUAUGCCUCGCUCAGGUUGGUGCGGUCUUAUAUUUCAAGAAAUAAAAUCUUGUGGUUAUAUGCUAUCAGUUAAUGUGAACCCGUGAAAGGCCGCUUGAAUUGUAUGCCUCGCUCAGGCAAUGAAUCCUUUGUGCAGAGAGCUCUUCUUGAUGCCCCCAUAAGUAAUGAAUUUGCUACACAGCAAAAAAAAGUAGCUAUUUGUUUUA